UAACCCUUCAAGCCUGGCUUGGUGUUGAGGCCUGCGGUCACCGGCAGCCUCUAAAAUCAGUGGCGGCGCCCUCGGGCUCUGAGCGUAGUAAUCUUUCUCGCUACAGAGCCCCGGUGGGUGCUAGCCAUCAACCCCUUCUUUCUCU
rnacentral:misc_RNA from 1 species